AGUUCUCCGUCUCCACGGCCAGGCACUGCUGGGUGACCGCCUUUAGGUUGGUGAUGAUCUGGCCGUUCUCCUUCCGGAGUUGACCCACUUGGGCAGUCAGGUCAUCCAGAUGCUUCUGCUUCCUCUGCCGGGACCUCCUCGCCGAUUCCCUGUUGGAGAGUUUCCUCUUCUGCUUCCUCAUGUCGGUCGCCUGCAGCUGCAGGUCCUCGUCGGAGCUGGCCAGCAGAGUGGAGCCCGAGGACGUGCCACUCCCGCUGGAAGAAGCCAUGGCUAAUUGAAGGACGAUACCUAAGAGAGGUAGUAUGCGUAUUAUGUAUACAGAUAGAUAGAUUGAUAGAUAGAUAGAUAGAUAUAGAUAGUGGGUUUUAUUAUUUUUACGGAGGCUGCAGGACCCAGAAGGCCGGCCGGCGACUGGGGAGAGGGAUGCUCACGAGAAGACGUAGAACCAGUAGAGGAAGACGACGGAGAAGGACUGAACAAGAUGGGUCCUGCGCCUCAGAGUCGAAUUUAUCAUAAACCCGGAGAGGAGGAUCUCACUGACGAUUGGAGACAUCAAUCAG
rnacentral:lncRNA from 1 species